rnacentral:rRNA from 1 species
UACGGGGGGAGCAAGCGUUGUUCGGAUUUACUGGGCGUAAAGGGCGCGUAGGCGGCCUCCGCAAGUCACUUGUGAAAUCUCCGGGCUUAACUCGGAAAGGUCAACUGAUACUGCGGGGCUAGAGUGCGGAAGGGGCAACUGGAAUUCUCGGUGUAGCGGUGAAAUGCGUAGAUAUCGAGAGGAACACCUGCGGCGAAGGCGGGUUGCUGGGCUGACACUGACGCUGAUGCGCGAAAGCCAGGGGAGCGAACGGG